GGCUCAUACAGUGAUGGACACCAAGCUCCCAGAUUUCCCAAGGGAGGUGACUGAGUAUAGAGCC